rnacentral:ncRNA from 1 species
UAUGAACUGCCACCGGGUAGUGUAUGCGUUCAGCAUUCGUUCGCACAUCGUUAGGUCUUUGAAGAUGUGCCUGCGGAUGUUUUGUUUUU